rnacentral:rRNA from 1 species
UACGUAGGGGGCAAGCGUUGUCCGGAUUUAUUGGGCGUAAAGAGCGUGUAGGCGGCCUUACAGGUCAGCUGUGAAAACUCGAGGCUCAACCUCGAGACGUCGGUUGAAACCGUAAGGCUAGAGUCCGGAAGAGGAGAGUGGAAUUCCCGGUGUAGAGGUGAAAUUCGUAGAUAUCGAGAGGAACACCGGUGGCGAAGGCGGCCUUCUGGACGGCGACUGACGCUGAGACGCGAAAGCGUGGGGAGCAAACAGG